rnacentral:sRNA from 1 species
UUUUAAACCCGACAGAAGCGAAAAUCCUUUUUGUUUGCAGCAACCUUGAAUAUUACUGUCAUGCUGAGGCACGAAGCAUCUGCAGGCUAUGAAACAGAUGCUUCGUACCUCAGCAUGACAAGGAGUAGCAAAAAGAUUGAAGCGAAUGGCGGGAGCAGGC